GCAUAGUCUAAAAGUCUUUUCCCAUGAUCUCAUUGCACAGCCAUUCUUUUUUUUUUUUUUUCCGCUUUUUUAAGGACCGCACCCACAGCAUAUGGAGGUUCCCAAGCUAGGAGUCCAGUCGGAGCUGUAGCCAUUGGCCUAAGCCACAGCCACAGCAACGCAGGAUCCGAGCUGCGUCUGCAACCUACACCACAGUUCACGGCAACACCGGAUCCUUAACCCACUGAGCGAGGCCAGGGAUUGAACCCGCAACCUCAUGGUUCCUCGUCGUCCUGCACCACAACGGGCACUCUUGCUUAUCCAUUCUAAAUAAUAGCAUCUACGCACCCCAAACUCCCCAUCCAUCCCACUUCUUCCCCUCUCCCCCUUGGCCGGCACGGGCCUGCUCUCUGUAGUACCUCAUGGUCUUGAGUCCGUCCUCCGUGGAUGGACAUUCAGGCUGCGUCCAGGCCUUGGCGGUGGUGACUGGUGCUGCUGUCACCAUAGGGGGAGGAAGUAUGAGAUCUUUUAACCUCUGCGCCUUGGAGCCUCUGCUGACCGCGCCCUGGUUCUCUCUCACAGCUCUGGAACUCUCUCCUGUCCCGGUACCUCGGCCCGCCCCAGUGGAGACGGUUCCUGCUCUGAGAAGCCCUUCUGUGGGGCCCAGCCUGCCAGCGCCUCCGGAGGCACCCAGCAGGGCCCAUGAGACAAACACGUGCUGAGAGACCUUGAACCUGAUGGGCAGUGUUUUUCCGGUGUGAUGUUUUCCCGAAAGGUCAGUUGUCCUAAAAGCGCUCGCCCACGGGUGGCGAGUUACCACCUCCCCGUCCUGGUGCUGGCUUUCCCGGGGAAGCGGCUUCCAGAUUGAGUUUUGGUCUUUCCCCGAGUCCCUGCCCCUUGUGAUGCUGGGGGGCCCCUCCACCCCCUGCGGCGCUGCCCGAGGACACGCAGGACCCCCACGUCUGCGUGAAUUGCAGGUGGAUAGUGUCCAGGUGCAGCCAGUGCCGCAUUUAGGACGUACCCCGGGUAAAACGUAGCCAUUGUUUAUCCCAAAUGCAAAUGCCCGUGGUGCCCUCUGGUCGCCUGCGGUCCCACCUGGAGUUAAUCAUCAAGCGUCUCCCCAGGUGUUUGCGCUUCCCACGGGUCAGCUGACUGUGUCACGCAAGCCCUAAUUAAGGUCAAGACCCGCGCGGGGGCCUUUGACCUGAGCUCCCAGGACGUCCUGGAAAGCAGCAGGCACCGGUCCUGCCUGUUCCCCUUCAGACCUGUCCACCGGGUGUUGGUGGCAGACACGUCACCCCUAAGCCUCUGCGAUGGCCACGGUGGGUCCUCGUGGCCAUAAGGGGCUUGUGAGGGUGGGGGGCUGGGGACACAGGACCCCUUCCCCUCGGUUGUUGGUUUUGUCCCCAGAAUCGAUUUGGUGGCAGCUGGACACAAACCUCCUCAGCCACCACCAGGCUGCCUUUGAUUUUCUGGAAAGAAGGCCCUGGGGUCAGGCACCCUUUGCUGUUCAGACCUGAGUGUCCAUGGUGGGUUACUAGCUGGUGUAUCCAGCUGCAAAGUCACCCUGGAAAAACAAGGCAUUCCCAGAAUUUGUACAUUCUGGUUUAUUGUCUGUCAUGUCAGCUGACCUGUCUCAAAACCGUAAUUUGAAAAGCUGCAUGUACCCCAGUGUGCAUUGCAGCACUGCUUCUAGUAGGCAAGGUAUAUACAGAUGCAACCUCGAUGUCCAUCUGCAGGGGACUGGAUAAAGAAGAUGUGGUACAUAUAUGCAAUGGAAUAUUACUCAGCCCCGAACAAAGAAUGAAAUAAUGCCAUUGCAGCAACAUGGGUGGACCUAGAGAUGACCAUACUGGGUGAAGUUAGACAGUGAUGGACAAACAUCCUGUGAUAUCACUUAUCAUUGAAUAUGUAGGAUCUAAAAAAAGGAUACGAACGAACGUACGUGCAAAACAGAAACAGACUCACAGACUUUACCGUCACCCAAGGGGACAGGUCGGGGUGGGGAGGGUGGACUGGGGGUUUGGGACUGGCAUGUGGGCGCUGAGGUCUGUGGAAGGACUGGCCCUCAGGGACCUGCUGUGCAGCCCAGAGACCUCUACCCAGUCUUGUGUGAGCACCUAUGCGGGAAAGGCCUCGCAGAGAGAGGGGUGUGUGUGAUGUGUCCCUGAACCACUUUGCGGCUCAGCGGAAAGUAUCGCCACCUUGUAAAAACUCUGUCCGUCCGUGAAACGUUAAAAAAGGAACAAAAGAACCAACAAAAGCAAAAGAACCUCCUGCAGAUCUGGAAGUGCUGUGCACGCGCCCUGCCCAGAGCGGAGCCAGAGUUUAAAGGCACCGGUGCCUGCAGAUUCGGGGCGUGUGGCUUGGCCCCUCGUGGCCUCACGUCCUGCAGGCUCGUAGGGCUUCACUGACGGCCCGCGGUGCCCCAGGCGCUGGAGGGACAGCGAGGAUGGACAGGCUCCCUGAAAGGCUGUGUUAACAAGAGGGUGGGCUGCAGCGCCCAGCACGUCAGGGGCGAAGGAGAGCUUCGGAGAAAAGGGAGCUGGUGGAAGUGAACGGGGGAUACAGGUUUUGUUCGUGUGUUUGUUUAAAUUUCAGCCUGUGGGAGCUGUUUCUGGAAGCCCCGCUGUGACGCCCCUGAGCGAGGCACACGAGGGCCUGGCAGGGACAGGCAACACGCUCUGUCUGCUCUGUCUGCUCUCCAUGCACCCAUUUCUCAGAUGCUGGCAUUGUGGCUCACGCUGCCCGAAGCCCCUGAGCUUUCUGGGGCCCCGGCUCGUCCUGCAUGGGAAUGCUGAACGAGGGGAGCCCCCCCAUAAGCCCAGCAGCGGUCCCUCCUCUUUCAAUACCCGUUCCCUCCUGUCCUCUGCCCGUUUUCCCCGGGUCCCUGCUGGGUUUGGAAGCAGCACAGACACGGGGUCAGGAGGCGAAAAAGCAGAAGCUGGAGCAGAAGCUACUGUGAGCCGAUGUCCACCUGCCGGGGCAGAAGGAAGCCACUGAGCCCGAGUGGCCACACCAACCACCAACCCCCUGCCCAUCCUGGCUGCUGGCGCAGCCCUCACCCCCGCCCCCCAAAGGCUGGGCGCCCCCCUCUGCGUGUCUGUGCUGUCACGUGGUCUAUCAUGGUUCGAGCCACUUACUCGGCUCCAGGGGACCCAGAGCUGUGACUCUCAUUGUGGUCCCCUGGGGGGCAUCUGAAGAUAAGGUCUAUAUUGGGGCCCCACCCAGACUGACCGAAUCAGACUUUCUGGCACCAGUGUGGUUUUUGGGUUUUUUUGUUUAAAGCUCCUGGGCAGCUUCCCUCCGCAGCCAGGAUGAAGAACCACUUUUCUCAGGAAUAUCCUUCAUUGAAACCUGGUACCCAGUUGGAAACAGUUAUGUAUAUGCAACUGUGUAACACUGAGCACAAUUUAUAUUUAUGUCGUUAUAAUAUAGUGUAUUAUGAUCAUUCCUCAUGUAUAAUGAUAGGUAAUAUAUUAUAAUACCCUGUAAUUAUUUCCAUAUUGCGAUUGUACCUGCAUUCUAUAGUGUGUGCACCCCAGCUAGUGUAUAAUUACGCCAGGCGCUUAUUUUUUCACGCAUCGGCGUUGAAUGUGCCAGGCUGGCUGGGACCUUCCUCGGGCGGACCCCGUCCUUGGCCACAGCCCUCUCCGCCCUCGGCAGAGUUUGCACCUCUACCCUUGGGAAAUCAGGAAGCUGAAAUGACAAAGGCAUUUGGCAGUGAACAUAGGAAUUCCCACGUGCUCUGAGAUUUUAAUUCGGAAUUACAGUGGGGCGAACUCUGGACAUUUCAGUUUAGGAAAGAAAGUCCUCCCGGCUGGUUUGCACGAUCUGCCGUUGGGGGGUUUAAGUGGGGCCCCCUCACGGGUGGGGUGAAGGAAGGGGACGCAGAGGCAGAGGCCGGCACGGGGCUUGGGUGGGUCAGUGGCUGGAGCUCAGACGCACGGCCCUUGGGCGAAGGAGAGAGGAGAGGGCGGGGCCAGUGGAGUCGCCUGGUUCGCCUGGUUCGGGAGGACCUGGACCCGAGGGCGUGCUGGCGGGGGACUUCUCUGCAGCCUGCUCCUGCCCCGAGGCGCUGCUGGCACCCCCAGCCACGCCGGGCCCUCCUGAUGGUCCGCAUAAGCCAGAGUCUGGGUCUCCGUGUGGAGCCUGCUGGUGAGCCGCUACAAGUUACGAGUGGCGUCGUGGGCCCGUGAACCCCUUUCUGCUGCUCCCGAGUUUAGGUGUACGUUGCCCAUCCGCGCAUCACCCACCUCACGUCCACGGUCAGCAGGACAAGCCAGCCGCUUUCCAACCUUUGCGUAAAGGACGCCACGUUCCAACCAUCCCGCAAACCCCUUUCCUUCCCCGGGAUGGUGUUCGGCAUCCUCCGAGCGAAGCGGGGGUUCGUUCCUUGUCACAGCUGUUCAGUCCGCGGGAGGAAGAGCCCACGCCUUGGCCGGGCAGACCCCGAGCUUAGGGUGGCCCAGGACACCUGCUUUUGCAGGCCACCGUCUGAGACAUCUUUGCUGUGCACGUGGCCUUGACCUUCCUACGGAGUUCGUGCAGAAGUGCAGUUGCUGGCUUGGUCCGUCCCCAUGCUCCCUGGUCACACUGGCUUUUACCUUCACCUUUCUGGACCCCUGUGCACGGAGCUGGGGUGUCCCAGUGGAUGGCUUGCGCCCCGAGGCGUGUCUUGCUAACAGCCGUGGUCUGGGGUGACAGUCGGCCCCCUGAUCUAGGUCCUUGCUG
rnacentral:lncRNA from 1 species